CUUGUUCCAGUUUGUCAACUACUUCUCCUCGUGUUUCUACAUCACAUUCUUUAAGGGCAGAUUUGUGACUUAUCCAGGAGAUCUGGUGUAUUGGCUGUGAAAAUGCAGAAAUGAAGACGUUGUGACCCAGGUGGCUGUCUCCUUGAACUGAUGACACAGCUGACAAUAAUCAUGGGAGGACAGUCCAUCUGGAA